rnacentral:lncRNA from 1 species
AUAACUUCUUUCUUCAACGUGAGAACAACCUCAUUGAUAUUACGGGGGGUGAUCAACUCAAGAACAAUGUCAAGUGUUUUUCUCCUAAUGUCAAGAUUCGGACUUGAAAGCGCUCUGAGGACAUCCAUAAUCAUAUCAACCAUGAUCUCCCUAUGAGAAAAUGUCAAGGUUCGGACUUGAAAGCGCUCUGAGGACAUCCAUAAUCAUAUCAACCAUGAUCUCCCUAUGAGAAGAUUUCAAUUCAUUCAGUCUAUCAAGCACAAUAAGCUUCACAUUGUUGUCACUCUGAGAUUGUAGAAGUUGACAAUAGGUAUUAGCUGCAGCUCUUA